GAUGAACGCUGGCGGCGUGCCUAAUACAUGCAAGUCGAACGAGGAAAGCUUUCGGGUGAGUACUAGUGGCGCACGGGUGAGGAAUAUAUGGGUAAUCUGCCCUCGAGUUGGGGAUAACCAGUCGAAAGACUGGCUAAUACCGAAUAAGACCACAGGAUCUGCGGAUCUAGGGGUUAAAGGUUUUUCGCUUGAGGAUGAGCCCAUACGGGAUUAGCUAGUUGGCGAGGUAAUGGCUCACCAAGGCUACGAUCCCUAACUGGUCUUAGAGGAUGAUCGGUCACACUGGAACUGAGACACGGUCCGGACUCCUACGGGAGGCAGCAGUAGGGAAUAUUGCACAAUGGGGGAAACCCUGAUGCAGCGACGCCGCGUGAGUGAUGAAGGCCUUCGGGUCGUAAAGCUCUGUCGUAUGGGACUAACACAAUGAAGGUACCAUGCAAGAAAGGAUCGGCUAACUUCGUGCCAGCCGCCGCCGUAA
rnacentral:rRNA from 1 species